GUACGUGAAACCGCAUUGAAUUAAACGAACAGUGCCUCGAAUACCGAUGAUAGAGAGGUUCACUCUUUGUGAGACAAAGUGUGUBGGCGUUGCAUUUUAUAGGCCUUCGGGCAGUUUAUUUGCUUCGCUGGCACGUGAUGCUUUGUGUUAGCAAAGUGGGUAUUUUUCUCUAUCGGUAGGGCGUCGUGGCCGGCAAUGUCACUGUAAAUCCCGGGAGUGAAGGACUUUUUCCGUAUGAGCGUACCUCUUUCGGGAGGAAGUUUGUGCGCGACAAAAGUUUUCGCUUUAUCGUGGUGAGUUUCGACAUUGUCGGGGAGUUUCGCUAGGCGUAGCUUAACUCGUACAACUUGCGCAUCUGAUAUGCGUUGUUGGCUAAUGUCGGUUUGUCGUUGGUGUUAUGAGAAUGAACGUCUUUACGGACAGAUUCUCGUAGCGCUUGACGAUUCAGGGCUGCUUUGGUCAAUGACACGCGUUGCCUUGUUGCUACACGGCGAGUAGGUCGGUCAACUGUUCGACCCGUCUUGAAACACGGACCAAGGAGUCUAACAUGUACGCGAGUCUUAUGAGCCUGCUCAACUCACGAGGCGUAGCGAAAGCGAAAGACGUGAUCCUCAUGAAAUACUGGGGCGCAACGUCGGCCUAUACGGUGGAAUUUAUUUUCCUCGUAUGGAGCUAGAGCGUACAUGUUAGCACCCGAAAGAUGGUGACCUAUGCUUGGGCAAGAUGAAGCCAGGGGAAACCCUGGUGGAGGUCUGCAGCGUUUCUGACGUGCAAAUCGAUCGUCUGACCUGAGUAUAGGGGCGAAAGGCCAAUCGAACCAUCUAGUAG
rnacentral:rRNA from 1 species